AUGCGUUGUUGGGUAGGGGAGCGUUCUGUAAGCCUGUGAAGGUGUACUGUGAGGUAUGCUGGAGGUAUCAGAAGUGCGAAUGCUGACAUAAGUAACGAUAAAGCGGGUGAAAAGCCCGCUCGCCGGAAGACCAAGGGUUCCUGUCCAACGUUAAUCGGGGCAGGGUGAGUCGACCCCUAAGGCGAGGCCGAAAGGCGUAGUCGAUGGGAAACAGGUUAAUAUUCCUGUACUUGGUGUUACUGCGAAGGGGGGACGGAGAAGGCUAUGUUGGCCGGGCGACGGUUGUCCCGGUUUAAGCGUGUAGGCUGGUUUUCCAGGCAAAUCCGGAAAAUCAAGGCUGAGGCGUGAUGACGAGGCACUACGGUGCUGAAGCAACAAAUGCCCUGCUUCCAGGAAAAGCCUCUAAGCAUCAGGUAACAUCAAAUCGUACCCCAAACCGACACAGGUGGUCAGGUAGAGAAUACCAAGGCGCUUGAGAGAACUCGGGUGAAGGAACUAGGCAAAAUGGUGCCGUAACUUCGGGAGAAGGCACGCUGAUAUGUAGGUGAAGUCCCUCGCGGAUGGAG
rnacentral:rRNA from 1 species